rnacentral:rRNA from 1 species
AACGAACGCUGGCGGCAUGCCUAACACAUGCAAGUCGAACGAGACCUUCGGGUCUAGUGGCGCACGGGUGCGUAACGCGUGGGAACCUGCCUUUAGGUUCGGAAUAACUCAGAGAAAUUUGAGCUAAUACCGGAUGAUGUCUUCGGACCAAAGAUUUAUCGCCUUUAGAUGGGCCCGCGUUGGAUUAGCUAGUUGGUGGGGUAAAGGCCUACCAAGGCGACGAUCCAUAGCUGGUCUGAGAGGAUGAUCAGCCACACUGGGACUGAGACACGGCCCAGACUCCUAAGGGAGGCAGCAGUGGGGAAUAUUGGACAAUGGGCGAAAGCCUGAUCCAGCAAUGCCGCGUGAGUGAUGAAGGCCUUAGGGUUGUAAAGCUCUUUUACCCGAGAUGAUAAUGACAGUAGCGGGAGAAUAAGCUCCGGCUAACUCCGUG